AAAGUCGUGUGUAGAGAAGAACAUGUCUUAGAAACGGACAGUAAAGGUCACAUUUUGUCUAAUAUAGGGAGAAUUGUCCCAUAUGUGUUUAUUUCUCUUCUCUUUUAAGAGGACAGACGCAGUUACUGAGGGUUGUCUACUUCCCCUUCCUGAUUGUAAACAAGCAGUGUGUGUGAGACGAUUAUGAAAGGAUUGUGUGAAUGAAGUAAAAAAAAAAAAAAAAAAAACUGACAAAUGCAAAAUUAGUAUACUUAAAAGUCUGUGUGAGAAGAGGGUGUAUUGUUUUUAGACCAAGACUUAGUAAAACUAAAUAGACAGACGAGUUAAAUUAUGAGAAGAUGAAGCGAAUGCAUGCUUAACUAAAAGUAAUAAAAUGACAUUAAUUACAGGUUUUAGAAAAGGGACAUACCGAGGAAAAUAAAUACAUGAACUAAUAAUUACAUUAAUGAAUUGAAAACGCACGUACACAAACUGUUACAUGUGACAUUAUUGUUGGAAAGUUAAUACACACAUGAAAUAAAGAAAGCAGUUUACACUCCUUUAAUUUACAAAACCAGUGUGUCCCCUAGACCUGAUAACACCCUUGCCCAGUUGGCCCCUGUAGUAGGCGGGCAUGGAAGGCUGGACAGCCCAUGACGGGUAAGAUCCCACCUCGAAACCCUGGGACAACCUAAGGCAAGGCGCAGUCACGAUUGCUUGAACCUAAGUCCCGGAGUGACCUUGGAGUUACUGGAGGAGACGGGAUUUAACGGGCCUGGAAGAGAGUGAACUGACGGCGCGGACAAAUUACCAAGUAAGGAUUGCAGCAAGUCAAUCCAGUCAAAAGUGUAGAGAACUAUUUUCCUAAAAAGGAAAACGAGAUAAAACAAAUGAUUGAGCUCAUUUUGCUGAUGUGGAGCAUCUGAUGACGUGCGCAGAAGGCUGCAGUAUCAGCAAAAAAUAUCAUGUGUGAAUGCAUGUGAGUGAAUGCGAGUGAUCGGACCGAGAGGGGAAAUAAAUAAAAGGUUGACAAACAGGAGGAGUGGAAGACUUAAUUCUGGGGAUGUUGAUGUUUGUUUUGAGAAAAUUAUUUACUGGGGUUGGAUUAUGUUAUUACAUUAUAGAAUGCCAAAUGCUAAAAGGGAAACAUUGUUUGAGGUAACUCAAGUUACCAUUAGCUGAGGUAACACAUGAUUAAUAACUGUUCUGUUUAAGUUUAUUUUGUGUUAUAACACAGGUUGGAUCAUAAGUGGGGAAAUUGAGUAUGAAAUGUGAAGUUCUGGUUAACACACAGGUUUUUGUUUUGUUGGGAUUUAGAGAUUCUUUUAUUGCUGCCAUAUAAUCUGCCUUAUGAUAAAUGCAUUAAUAACAUGUUCUACAGUAUUAUUUUAUCAGUAAUAUUGUUUACAGGGUUCAUAUUGCAUUGAAUAUGUUUGUCAUCACAUUCAUUUUAUUCACAGGUUGAGUUCAUUCUAUACACAAUGCAUAACUGUGCUUGUUUAGAGUUGAUGUUCUAUCCAAGAGGGUUUUAAGCUUCACUGGUGAGAGUGUCCAGGUGAUACAUGUUGAGGGAAGAUGAGAACAUAGCAGGUUAAUUGCAUGCAUGCUUACAAUACACAUAAAUCUAGCAACAGGCCUGAGCGAAGGCCCAAGUGUCUUCUGCUUCUUAUUUGAGACCUGCGCCAAUUCAGUCUACUUAGUGAUUGAGGACGAGGGUCCAUUAUUAGCCCUUAGAGGCCCUGAAGCUUGAAGUUAUUACCUUAAAAGGAAGGUGUUAUCAAAAAAGAAGUUAUAUGUCUGUUUAUAGUUAUUAGAGAUGUACAAGAUGUACCCUUGUCUGUAAACAAUGACUGGACAUAAUGUAUUUUUGACCUGUACUGACGUGUAUGUGGGGGUGUGAUCCUCUAUGCUAUAAAACCAGAACUCAGUGUAUUUCUGUCAGAGCAAAUAAGCCAUAUGCUGACGGUUGUUCUCCGUUGUCAAUAAACUCAUCGUUUGAUUGCACUUUUCUGGGCCUCCGUCGUUUGUUGUCUGGUCUACAGUUGAUCCAUCUCGCUUCAUUUGGUGGAGGAUGCAGGGCAACUAAAGAUCAGCAGUAAGAGGUACAGGUGUUUGUUGUCGGCGGAGGUCGAGGCCAGAUCAGGUGAUUGAACGGCAGACGUCACGGUGAUCGCUUG
ensembl:lncRNA